rnacentral:rRNA from 1 species
UACGGAGGGAGCUAGCGUUGUUCGGAAUUACUGGGCGUAAAGCGCACGUAGGCGGCUUUGUAAGUUAGAGGUGAAAGCCUGGGGCUCAACCCCAGAAUUGCCUUUAAGACUGCAUCGCUUGAAUCCGGGAGAGGUGAGUGGAAUUCCGAGUGUAGAGGUGAAAUUCGUAGAUAUUCGGAAGAACACCAGUGGCGAAGGCGGCUACCUGGACCGGUUCUGACGCUGAGGCGCGAAAGCGUGGGUAG